CCCACGCAGAUAUCUCCUUAUACGGCAGAGAGAAGGAAACUCCUUAGAGUGGGAAAGUAUAAUCCAUUUCCCACACUAAACAGACCUAAGAUGAAGGAGCUCGCUGAUUGGUUGAAAACUGAUCCUGAUUAUUUCACUAAGGAAGAGGACAAACCACGUACAUCACCAACUUGGUGGUAUCAAAAACUCCGGACAUCCAAAGCAUGGCUGGAAGACGUAGUAAGUCUUCUGCUUAUCUUUAAGUCGUCUGGUAACUUGUCUUUGUAUAGAUUUGUAAAUAUAUAAGUCGUCUGGAAGGUUUUC